rnacentral:rRNA from 1 species
CCUACGGGUGGCAGCAGUGAGGAAUAUUGGGCAAUGGGCGCAAGCCUGAACCAGCCAAGUCGCGUGAGGGAUGACGGUCCUCGGGAUUGUAAACCUCUUUUGUCGGGGAGCAAGGCCCGCCACGUGUGGCGAUAAGGAGAGUACCCGAAGAAAAAGCAUCGGCUAACUCCUUGCCAGCAGCCGCGGUAAUACGGAGGAUGCGAGUGUUAUCCGGAUUUAUUGGGUUUAAAGGGGUCGUAGGCGGAAGGUUAAGUCAGCGGUCAAAUGUCGGUUCUCAACACCGGCCUGCCGUUGAAACUGGUGUUCUUGAGUGAGCGAGAAGCAUGCGGAAUGCGUGGUGUAGCGGUGAAAUGCAUAGAUAUUACGAAGAACUCCGAUGGCGAAGGCAGCAUACCGGAGAUCAACUGACGCUGAGGCACGAAAGCGUGGGGAGCGAACAGGAUUAGAUACCCUAGUAGUC